rnacentral:ncRNA from 1 species
GCUAAAAUUUGUCCCUUUUUAAUGCAUUUACCCCGCCGAACCAACCCUGGACAGGCGGUGGAAACUACCAAGCUUGAGUACGGUAGGGGCAGAGGGAAUUUCCGGUGGAGCGGUGAAAUGCGUAGAGAUCGGAAAGAACACCAACGGCGAAAGCACUCUGCUGGGCCGACACUGACACUGAGAGACGAAAGCUAGGAGAGCGAAUGGGAUUAGAUACCGGUUUAGCUGAUCGGUUGCACAACCGAUCAGGUAAGAAAAAGGUUUUGCCGCUUGGUUGUGUCAAUCGGUUGCACAAACGAUCGAAGC